AUGGAACUGUGGGUGCGCAAUGUCUAUCAGAAAGUGAAGUUCAAGAAUACGAUACAUUCAGUCUUGGGCAUGGUCGGGAGUACUAUAUAUGUCUUUAAGAAGGACAAGGCCCUCGAAGAUGGCAGAUUUGUGGAAAUUUUUGUGCGCUAUCUGAUAGCAGCGGUACUCAUUGUUGUUCAAAUCCUGCUGUUGGUAGUGAAAAAUUUGUUCCCUACAUGUGGGGACGAUGACCUGCAAGCGUUUAUCAGUUACAUGAGAGAGACAAGGGUCGGGUAUGAGAAGGACCAAUGUUUUGCGAGAGGAAAAAAUUCCAUUACUCGUGCUGUUGAGUUGAUUGAGUCAGCCUCACCUGAUGAAUCCCUUCAUGGAGUACAGCUCUUGUAUGCCACGAUCUCCUUGGGGGAGACUAAACUGAAAGAAGAAAGAAAAAAGAGAAAGACGGAAUUGUAUUCCAAACUAUUGAAGGAGAUUAUGGGGCAAUAUAGAUUGAUGAAAGUGUUAGUCGUGUUCCCACCCUCUUCAGCUAUACUUCAAAAACUGAUGCAGAUUCUUAAUCCUCGAGAAGCACAUGAUGCAGAAAUGAGAAACCAGGCUGCCAGGAUAUUAGCAUAUCUUGCACUUGAUACUCAAUUGGAGCAAUUCCCACAAGGUAUAAACCACAUAUCAUCCUUGAUCUGCACUUUUGAUGAAUACAUGCUGGUUGAGCCAUAUCACAAUGAUGAGGAUCUGAUUUGGGUGGACUACAGCAAGUUAGUGCUGCGAGGCUUAUGUAUCUUGUAUAAGCUUGCAUCAGACAAAAAAAACUGCGCAAUAAUAAUUGCGACCGAAGGUCUACUCACAAAGAUCAUGUCACCUCUGACUUGUGAUUUAAUCCAUGAAUUGAGUGGUGGUGCAUGGUCUGAGAGCUUAGUACAUGCAUCACUGAAGAUAGAAAAGCGCCCCACGGUCAGGACAUCUUGCAACAUGACGCUGUUAAAGAUCAUUGGAGCUGCCAAAAGUGAGGACUGGUCCAUCAGUAAAUUGGCACGCGAGGCAUUGGCCAAGUCACAUCUCGAAAGAGAAAGUGAUAUUGAUGUUGUUCAUAGCCUCAUUGAGAUCCUUGGAAAUGCUGAGAACAAGUACAGAGCAAGAGCAGCUAUUAUCCUAGUGGAUAUGAACUUUGAUCACACUGUUCAGGAAGCCAUGACCUCUGCAAUGCUAAUGGUCCUAGAAAAAGAAGGUGAUGACAUAGAAAAGCAAGGGAAGCAAUGUGGUGGUGCACAAAUGUCUUGUGGCGCUCAUCGAGAUUCCAAAGGGAAUGAAGGUGAUCUCGAUGUGGAGGGUGAUGAGGUCGAAAAUGAGGAGGAGGAGGAAGUCAUUGCACCUGCAUUGUCAUUUUGUGUGAAGGUAUGGGAAACUUUCAAAGAUCAAGACUGGCCCUGCAAAUUUGAAGGACUUCCAAAGAAGAUGCAGGAGAUGGUAAAGAAAAAUGAAGUUCCUAACACUCAUUCCUUGACUGUGGCAAAGCUAAUCUGUAGGAUGGUUAUAUUAAUGAUGGAGCACAAGUGCAGCUACCUAAAAGAAGAGGUGGAUGAGUUGAUCGACACACUGCCGAUUGCUUCUGAAGGAAUGGCUAAUCUGGAUAUGUCCAUGGUCUUUGGCCGCAACCACUCUGGCACUAGUCUGGUUUCACUGGUGAAAGAUGCUAAGGCAUGCGUAGAAAAGAAAUCUGAAUCAGAGUUCGUGGAAUCAUCUACGUCUAAUACUCGCCAGAGUGGCUAA
rnacentral:rRNA from 1 species